rnacentral:rRNA from 1 species
AGCUCCAAUAGCGUAUAUUAAAGUUGUUGCAGUUAAAUAGCUCGUAGUUGAAUCUUGGGGUUGGUUUGGCGGUCACAUCUUUGAUGUGUACUGUCGGCCGAUCCUUUUACUUGUGGGGAACAUAUGUGCUCUUUACGGGGUGUGUAUGGGAACCAUGGCUGUUACUUUGAAAAAAUUAGAGUGUUUAAAGCGGGCGUAAGCUUGUAUACAUUAGCAUGGAAUAAUAGAAUAGGACUUUGGUUUUAUUUUGUUGGUUUCUAGGGCCGACGUAAUGAUUAAUAGGGAUAGUUGGGGGCAUUAGUAUUUAAUAGUCAGAGGUGAAAUUCUUGGAUUUAUGAAAGACUAACUUCUGCGAAAGCAUUUGCCAAGGAUGUUUUCA